rnacentral:rRNA from 1 species
AGCUCCAAUAGCGUAUAUUAAAGUUGCUGCAGUUAAAAAGCUCGUAGUUGCAUUUCCGAGGCAAGGGAUUAGUCCGACCUUUGGUGGGUAUUUAAUCCUCUUGCCUCGUCCUUGAGUGGUGCUUCUUGGUAUUAAGUUAUCGAGGAGAUAGCCGCUCAUCGUUUACUGUGAGAAAAUUAGAGUGUUCAAAGCAGGCUUAUGCCGUUGAAUAUAUUAGCAUGGAAUAAUAAGAUAGGUCCUCGGUACUAUUUUGUUGGUUUGAGAACCAAGGUAAUGAUGAAUAGGGACAGUUGGGAGUAUUCGUAUUCAGUUGUCAGAGGUGAAAUUCUUAGAUUUACGGAAGACGAACUACUGCGAAAGCAUUUACCAAGGAUGUUUUCA